rnacentral:rRNA from 1 species
UUCUGACCUCAAAUCAGGUGGGACUACCCGCUGAACUUAAGCA